rnacentral:lncRNA from 12 species
GGAGAGUCCUCUGCUGCCUUUAUCCUGAAACCCAGGACUGAAGGCAUCCUGGUGAAUCAGACCUACUAAGGAAAAUGCUAAAGCAGAUAUUUCACUUGGAGCACAUGAAUAAUCCCACACCAACACUUGAAGGCCG